rnacentral:rRNA from 1 species
UACGUAGGUGGCGAGCGUUGUCCGGAUUUACUGGGCGUAAAGGGAGCGUAGGCGGACUUUUAAGUGAGAUGUGAAAUACUCGGGCUCAACUUGAGUGCUGCAUUUCAAACUGGAAGUCUAGAGUGCAGGAGAGGAGAAUGGAAUUCCUAGUGUAGUGGUGAAAUGCGCAGAGAUUAGGAAGAACACCAGUGGCGAAGGCGAUUCUCUGGACUGUAACUGACGCUGAGGCUCGAAAGCGUGGGGAGCAAACAGG